rnacentral:rRNA from 1 species
GUGCCUAACACAUGCAAGUCGAACGAGAAAGUGGAGCAAUCCAUGAGUAAAGUGGCGACCGGGUGAGUAACACGUGACCAAUCUACCCUUGAGUGGGGGAUAACCUCGGGAAACCGGGGCUAAUACCGCAUAAUAUCUUCGGAACGGAAGUACUGAAGAUCAAAGGAGCAAUUCGCUUAAGGAGGAGGUCGCGGCUGAUUAGCUAGUUGGCGGGGUAAUGGCCCACCAAGGCAAAGAUCGGUAGCCGGCCUGAGAGGGCGCACGGCCACACUGGAACUGAAACACGGUCCAG